AGUGAACGCUGGCGGUAGGCCUAACACAUGCAAGUCGAACGGCAGCACAGUAAGAGCUCGCCCUUACGGGUGGCGAGUGGCGGACGGGUGACGAAUACAUCGGAAUCUGCUUUUUCGUGGGGGAUAACGUAGGGAAACUUACGCUAACACCGCAUACGACCUACCGGUGAAAGCAGGGGAUCUUCGGACCUUGCCCGAUUCAAUGAGCCGAUGUCGGAUUAGCUAGUUGGCGGGGUAAAGGCCCACCAAGGCGACGAUCCGUAGCUGGUCUGAGAGGAUGAUCAGCCACACUGGAACUGAGACACGGUCCAGACUCCUACGGGAGGCAGCAGUGGGGAAUAUUGGACAAUGGGCGCAAGCCUGAUCCAGCCAUACCGCGUGGGUGAAGAAGGCCUUCGGGUUGUAAAGCCCUUUUGUUGGGAAAGAAAAGCAGCAGGUUAAUACCCCGCUGUUCUGACGGUACCCAAAGAAUAAGCACCGGCUAACUUCGUG
rnacentral:rRNA from 1 species